rnacentral:rRNA from 1 species
UACAGAGGGUGCGAGCGUUAAUCGGAAUUACUGGGCGUAAAGCGCGCGUAGGCGGCUUUGCAAGAUCGGGUGUGGAAAUCCCCAAGGCUUAACCUGGGAACUGCAUUCGAGACUGCAUUGCUAGAGUGUGGGAGAGGUAAGCGGAAUUCCUGGUGUAGCGGUGAAAUGCGUAGAUAUCAGGAGGAACACCUGUGGUGUAGACAGCUUACUGGACCACGACUGACGCUGAGACACGAAAGCGUGGGUAGCAAACAGG